GGACUGUAGUUCAGUGGUAGAGCACUUGCCUAGCAUGUGUGAGGCACUGGGUUUGAUCCUCAGCACCA
rnacentral:tRNA from 1 species